UACGUAGGGUGCGAGCGUUGUCCGGAAUUAUUGGGCGUAAAGAGCUUGUAGGUGGUUUGUCGCGUCUGCUGUGAAAACCCGCGGCUCAACUGCGGGCUUGCAGUCGAUACGGGCAGGCUAGAGUUCGGUAGGGGAGACUGGAAUUCCUGGUGUAGCGGUGAAAUGCGCAGAUAUCAGGAGGAACACCGAUGGCGAAGGCAGGUCUCUGGGCCGAUACUGACGCUGAGGAGCGAAAGCGUGGGGAGCGAACAGG
rnacentral:rRNA from 1 species